GACGAACGCUGGCGGCGUGCUUAACACAUGCAAGUCGAGCGAUGAAGUUCCUUCGGGAAUGGAUUAGCGGCGGACGGGUGAGUAACACGUGGGUAACCUGCCUCAUAGAGGGGAAUAGCCUUUCGAAAGGAAGAUUAAUACCGCAUAAGAUUGUAGUAUCGCAUGAUACAGCAAUUAAAGGAGUAAUCCGCUAUGAGAUGGACCCGCGUCGCAUUAGCUAGUUGGUGAGGUAACGGCUCACCAAGGCGACGAUGCGUAGCCGACCUGAGAGGGUGAUCGGCCACAGCGGGACUGAGACACGGCCCAGACUCCUACGGGAGGCAGCAGUGGGAGUAUUGCACAAUGGGGGGAACCCUGAUGCAGCGACGCCGCGUGAGUGAUGACGGUCUUCGGAUUGUAAAACUCUGUCUUCAGGGACGAUAAUGACGGUACCUGAGGAGGAAGCCACGGCUAACUACGUGCCAGCAGCCGCCGUAA
rnacentral:rRNA from 1 species